CAGUCGCCACGGGAAUACGUAGGUGGCAAGCGUUGUCCGGAAUUAUUGGGCGUAAAGGGCUCGCAGGCGGUUUCUUAAGUCUGAUGUGAAAGCCCCCGGCUCAACCGGGGAGGGUCAUUGGAAACUGGGAAACUUGAGUGCAGAAGAGGAGAGUGGAAUUCCACGUGUAGCGGUGAAAUGCGUAGAGAUGUGGAGGGACACCAGUGGCGAAGGCGACUCUCUGGUCUGUAACUGACGCUGAGGAGCGAAAGCGUGGGGAGCGAACAGGAUUAGAUACCCCGGUAGUCCCUGUCUCUUAUAC
rnacentral:rRNA from 1 species